rnacentral:rRNA from 1 species
GCUUGUCUCAAAGAUUAAGCCAUGCAUGUCUAAGUAUAAGCACCCUUAUACGUCGAAACUGCGUACAGCUCAUUAUAUCAGCAAUUAUUUAUUUGAAGGUCACUAAUUACAUGGAUAACCGUGGUAAUUCUAGAGCUAAUACAUGCGAAAAAUCCCGGCGCAAGUCGGGAUGUAUUUAUUAGAUACAAAACCAAUGCCCUUCGGGGCUCCUUGGUGAUUCAUGAUAACUAUACGAAUCGCACGGCCUUGCGCCGGCGAUGGUUCAUUCAAAUUUCUUCCCUAUCAACUUUCGAUGUUUGGGUAUUGGCCAAACAUGGUUGCAACGGGUAACGGAGGGUUAGGGCUCGACCCCGGAGAAGGAGCCUGAGAAACGGCUACUACAUCCAAGGAAGGCAGCAGG